GACGAACGCUGGCGGCGUGCUUAACACAUGCAAGUCGAACGGAAAGGCCCUGCUUUUGUGGGGUGCUCGAGUGGCGAACGGGUGGGUAACACGUGAGUAACCUGCCCUUGACUUUGGGAUGACUUCAGGAAACUGGGGCUAAUACCGGAUAGGAGCUCCUGCUGCAUGGUGGGGGUUGGAAAGUUUCGGCGGUUGGGGAUGGACUCGCGGCUUAUCAGCUUGUUGGUGGGGUAGUGGCUUACCAAGGCUUUGACGGGUAGCCGGCCUGAGAGGGUGACCGGCCACAUUGGGACUGAGAUACGGCCCAGACUCCUACGGGAGGCAGCAGUGGGGAAUAUUGCACAAUGGGCGGAAGCCUGAUGCAGCAACGCCGCGUGCGGGAUGACGGCCUUCGGGUUGUAAACCGCUUUCGCCUGUGACGAAGCGUGAGUGACGGUAAUGGGUAAAGAAGCACCGGCUAACUACGUG
rnacentral:rRNA from 1 species